rnacentral:rRNA from 1 species
AUGGACCAAUCCAUCCCUUUUUCCCGUGCGUAUGCAUCGGACUCGGAUGACGAUGGUCCCGAUGAAGAAGUUGAUGAGGAGGGGUUCACGCCGAAGGAGGCCCAAGCAUUCAAGAAGGUAUUCGGGAAGGACCACAAGACACCAUUGUUCAAGGAUCUUAGUCUCGCGGAUGAAGCCGUUGUGGAUGGUGGCAAAUGCAUAUCUCUUGGAGCUAGGCCAAGUUCUCAC